AGCGAACGCUGGCGGCAGGCCUAACACAUGCAAGUCGAGCGCCGUAGCAAUACGGAGCGGCAGACGGGAGAGUAACACGUGGGAACGUGCCCUUCAGUUCGGAACAACCCAGGGAAACUUGGGCUAAUACCGGAUACGUCCGUAAGGAGAAGGAUUUAUCGCUGAAGGAUCGGCCCGCGUCUGAUUAGCUAGUUGGUGGGGUAAUGGCCCACCAAGGCGACGAUCAGUAGCUGGUCUGAGAGGAGGAUCAGCCUCACUGGGACUGAGACACGGCCCAGACUCCUACGGGAGGCAGCAGUGGGGAAUAUUGGACAAUGGGCGCAAGCCUGAUCCAGCCAUGCCGCGUGGGUGAUGAAGGCCCUAGGGUUGUAAAGCCCUUUCGGCGGGGAAGAUAAUGACGGUACCCGCAGAAGAAGCCCCGGCUAACUUCGUGCCAGCCGCCGCAGUAAGAC
rnacentral:rRNA from 1 species